rnacentral:rRNA from 1 species
UUGCAGCCUGCAACUCGGCUGCAUGAAGCUGGAAUCGCUAGUAAUCGCGGAUCAGAACGCCGCGGUGAAUACGUUCCCGGGUCUUGUACACACCGCCCGUCACACCAUGGGAGCCGGAAACGCCCGAAGCCAGCGGCCCAACCGCAAGGGGGGAGCUGUCGAAGGCGGGGCCGGUGACCGGGGUGAAGUCGUAACAAGGUACC